rnacentral:rRNA from 1 species
CCUACGGGAGGCAGCAGUGAGGAAUAUUGGUCAAUGGACGCAAGUCUGAACCAGCCAUGCCGCGUGAAGGAUGAAGGCCUUUGGGUUGUAAACUUCUUUUAUCUGGGAAGCGGUACCAGAGGAAUAAGCACCGGCUAACUCCGUGCCAGCAGCCGCGGUAAUACGGAGGGUGCAAGCGUUAUCCGGAUUUACUGGGUUUAAAGGGUGUGUAGGCGGGUCUUUAAGUCAGUGGUGAAAUCUCCGAGCUUAACUUGGAAACUGCCAUUGAUACUAUUGAUCUUGAAUUCUGUUGAGGUGGGCGGAAUAUGUCAUGUAGCGGUGAAAUGCUUAGAUAUGACAUAGAACACCAAUUGCGAAGGCAGCUCACUAGAGAUAUUGACGCUGAGGCACGAAAGCGUGGGGAUCAAACAGGAUUAGAUACCCUUGUAGUC